rnacentral:rRNA from 1 species
GGAUUGGAGUCUGCAACUCGACUCCAUGAAGUCGGAAUCGCUAGUAAUCGUGGAUCAGAAUGCCACGGUGAAUACGUUCCCGGGCCUUGUACACACCGCCCGUCACACCAUGGGAGUGGGUUGCAAAAGAAGUAGGUAGCUUAACCUUCGGGAGGGCGCUUACCACUUUGUGAUUCAUGACUGGGGUGAAGUCGUAACAAGGUAACCGUAGGGGAACCUGC